rnacentral:lncRNA from 1 species
UAUCCAUGGAUAGUAUGAAUGGUCAAAAGGAAAUGCCUCACUCUGCGAAUUGACACCAUCCGUUUGAGUGUAAGUUUGCUCUUUUAGGUCUAAGGUUGCUCAUCAUAAUCUCUUUCUCCCACCAUGUUUAGCAUUACCCCCUCCUCUCCCUUCUUAAAACGAGAGAGGAAACAAGCCUUACUUCAGUCUCCGUCCUCCUCCAUUUUCAUCUAUUAGAGAUUUAGCUUUAGGUGUCUAGAAUUGUAAUAAUGCUAAUUUUAAUGUAAAUGUACC